UCUCCAUUGUUUUCCCCAACCCUCCCCUGUCACUGCCUUCAGUCAUCAAUUUGCUACCCUCACCGAAGCUGUUUCCCCCCUCUCUUUCUUUUCUCUAAUUUACCAAAUCCUUCUCUCUACAACGAUGAAGAACUUCUUAGGCCCCUUAAAAUCAACCCGACUUCUCACAAAAAGCUUUCCUCCCAUUGUAUUGCGUCCUGCUACCGUCUUCUCGGAGUCGCUGCCUUACAGUUCGACGUCAAGAACAUGUUUACUGUGAUCGGACCGGUCUUUCUCCAAAAGCUUUACCGAGAGAGAGUAGGAGAGAAAGAUCUAUGGGAGGCCCUUCACUACUGUCAGACUAGUCCCCUCUGAUACUGAUGAAGAGAUUGCAGCAUCAAUUGUUGAUCUGACACAACCGGAUGAAGCAUGGAGUCAAAUGUUUUGUCUAUGAGAUUGUUCUGUCAUAGUGACAUUACUAUGUAGUUAAAGUGGGGCAAAAAUUAGAAGGAAUCUAUUUGAAAGUUCUCCUGUUUGCUAGAUUACCAAAUCAAAAAGAAAAUACCAUUGCUUUUACGUCCUAUGUGCCACACUACCUGAGGUAUUUUACAAUAUUCUGCUCAUCAAUUUGUUUCUUUAUAUAUGUCAUUUUAAA